rfam:Asian citrus Psyllid, Diaphorina citri - Florida Strain, whole genome shotgun sequence.
GCCAGCAGCGAUAGAACGUUGAAUCCGCCAGUUCCUGUAAGAUCACACUGAAUAACAACGUUGCGCGUGGUUAGUAUCUGGAUGGGUAACCAUCUGGGCAAUCGCGUUCUACUGGCU